rnacentral:rRNA from 1 species
UACAGAGGGUGCAAACGUUGUUCGGAAUUACUGGGCGUAAAGCGCGUGUAGGCGGCCUAGUGUGUCGGGCGUGAAAUCCCACGGCUCAACCGUGGAAGUGCACUCGAAACUGCAAGGCUGGAGUACUGGGAGAGGAUGGUAGAAUGCUCGGUGUAGAGGUGAAAAUUCGUAGAUAUCGAGCGGAAUACCGGUGGCGAAGGCGGCCAUCUGGACAGUCACUGACGCUGAGACGCGAAAGCGUGGGGAGCAAACAGG